GGGGUGUGACUGCGUACCUUUUGUAUAAUGGGUCAGCGACUUAUAUUCUGUAGCAAGGUUAACCGAAUAGGGGAGCCGGAGGGAAACCGAGUCUUAACCGGGCGUUAAGUUGCAGGGUAUAGACCCGAAACCCGGUGAUCUAGCCAUGGGCAGGUUGAAGGUUGGGUAACACUAACUGGAGGACCGAACCGACUAAUGUUGAAAAAUUAGCGGAUGACCUGUGGCUGGGGGUGAAAGGCCAAUCAAACCGGGAGAUAGCUGGUUCUCCCCGAAAGCUAUUUAGGUAGCGCCUCGUGAAUUCAUCUCCGGGGGUAGAGCACUGUUUCGGCUAGGGGGCCAUCCCGGCUUACCAACCCGAUGCAAACUGCGAAUACCGGAGAAUGUUAUCACGGGAGACACACGGCGGGUGCUAACGUCCGUCGUGAAGAGGGAAACAACCCAGACCGCCAGCUAAGGUCCCAAAGUCAUGGUUAAGUGGGAAACGAUGUGGGAAGGCCCAGACAGCCAGGAUGUUGGCUUAGAAGCAGCCAUCAUUUAAAGAAAGCGUAAUAGCUCACUGGUCGAGUCGGCCUGCGCGGAAGAUGUAACGGGGCUAAACCAUGCACCGAAGCUGCGGCAGCGACACU
rnacentral:rRNA from 1 species